CCUGACGCAGCAACGCCGCGUGGGUGAUGAAGGCCUUUGGGUCGUAAAGCCCUGUCAAGUGGGAAGAACCCGCAUGGUGCGAAUAGUAUCGUGCGCUGACGGUACCACUGAAGGAAGCACCGGCUAACUCCGUGCCAGCAGCCGCGGUAAUACGGGGGGUGCAAGCGUUAUUCGGAAUUAUUGGGCGUAAAGGGCGCGUAGGCGGCCGUUUAAGUCAGAUGUGAAAGCCCGGGGCUCAACCUUGGAAGUGCAUUUGAAACUGAACGGCUUGAGUAUGGGAGAGGGAAGCGGAAUUCCUGGUGUAGAGGUGAAAUUCGUAGAUAUCAGGAGGAACACCUGUGGCGAAGGCGGCUUCCUGGACCAAUACUGACGCUGAGGCGCGAAGGCGUGGGGAGCAAACAGGAUUAGAUACCCUGGUAGUCCACGCAGUAAACGUUGUUCACUAGGUGUAGCGGGUAUUGACCCCUGCUGUGCCGAAGCUAACGCAUUAAGUGAACCGCCUGGGAAGUACGGCCGCAAGGUUAAAACUCAAAGGAAUGGACGGA
rnacentral:rRNA from 1 species